CGGGGUUGCGGACAGUGUCUGGUGGGUAGUUUGACUGGGGCGGUCUCCUCCCAAAGAGUAACGGAGGAGCACGAAGGUUAGCUAAUCCUGGUCGGACAUCAGGAGGUUAGUGCAAUGGCAUAAGCUAGCUUGACUGCGAGCGUGACGGCGCGAGCAGGUGCGAAAGCAGGUCAUAGUGAUCCGGUGGUUCUGAAUGGAAGGGCCAUCGCUCAACGGAUAAAAGGUACUCCGGGGAUAACAGGCUGAUACCGCCCAAGAGUUCAUAUCGACGGCGGUGUUUGGCACCUCGAUGUCGGCUCAUCACAUCCUGGGGCUGAAGUAGGUCCCAAGGGUAUGGCUGUUCGCCAUUUAAAGUGGUACGCGAGCUGGGUUUAGAACGUCGUGAGACAGUUCGGUCCCUAUCUGCCGUGGGCGCUGGAGAAUUGAGGGGGGCUGCUCCUAGUACGAGAGGACCGGAGUGGACGCAUCACUGGUGUUCGGGUUGUCAUGCCAAUGGCACUGCCCGGUAGCUAAAUGCGGAAGAGAUAAGUGCUGAAAGCAUCUAAGCACGAAACUUGCCCCGAGAUGAGUUCUCCCUGAGACUUUAAGUCUCCUGAAGGAACGUUGAAGACGACGACGUUGAUAGGCCGGGUGUGUAAGCGCAGCGAUGCGUUGAGCUAACCGGUACUAAUGAACCGUGAGGCUUAACCUU
rnacentral:rRNA from 2 species